rnacentral:rRNA from 1 species
GUGUCAGCCGCCGCGGUAAUACGUAGGGGCCGAGCGUUGUCCGGAGUUAUUGGGCGUAAAGCGCGCGCAGGCGGCUUCGCGCGUCCGACGUGAAAGCCCCCGGCUUAACCGGGGAGGGUCGUUGGGUACGGCGGAGCUUGAGGGCGGGAGAGGGUGGUGGAAUUCCCGGUGUAGUGGUGAAAUGCGUAGAGAUCGGGAGGAACACCUGUGGCGAAGGCGGCCACCUGGGCCGACCCUGACGCUGAGGCGCGAAGGCGUGGGGAGCGAACGGGAUUAGAAACCCCUGUAGUCC